rnacentral:rRNA from 1 species
AUUGAACGCUGGCGGCAUGCCUUACACAUGCAAGUCGAACGGCAGCACGGGAGCAAUCCUGGUGGCGAGUGGCGAACGGGUGAGUAAUAUAUCGGAACGUGCCCAGUAGUGGGGGAUAGCCCGGCGAAAGCCGGAUUAAUACCGCAUGAGACCUGAGGGUGAAAGCGGGGGAUCGCAAGACCUCGCGCUAUUGGAGCGGCCGAUAUCAGAUUAGCUAGUUGGUGGGGUAAAGGCCUACCAAGGCAACGAUCUAUAGUUGGUCUGAGAGGACGACCAGACACACUGGGACUGAGACACGGCCCAGACUCCUACGGGAGGCAGCAGUGGGGAAUUUUGGACAAUGGGCGCAAGCCUGAUCCAGCAAUGCCGCGUGCAGGAAGAAGGCCUUCGGGUUGUAAACUGCUUUUGUCAGGGAAGAAAUCCUCUGGGUUAAUACCUCGGGGGGAUGACGGUACCUGAAGAAUAAGCACCGGCUAACUACGUGCCAGCCGCCGCCGUAACAC